rnacentral:rRNA from 1 species
AUUGAACGCUGGCGGCAGGCCUAACACAUGCAAGUCGAGCGCGCGGCGGACGGGUGAGUAAUGUCUGGGAAACUGCCUGAUGUAGGGGGAUAACUACUGUAAACAGUAGCUAAUACCGCAUACCAUCAGAUGUGCCCAGAUGGGAUUAGCGAGUGGGGGGGGUAACGGCUCACCUAGGCGACGAUCCCUAGCUGGGCUGAGAGGAUGACCAGCCACAAGGGAACUGAGACACGGUCCAGACUCCUACGGGAGGCAGCAGUGGGGAAUAUUGCACAAUGGGCGCAAGCCUGAUGCAGCCAUGCCGCGUGUGUGAAGAAGGCCUUCGGGUUGUAAAGCACUUUCAGCGGGGAGGCGUUACCCGCAGAAGAAGCACCGGCUAACUCCGUGCCAGCAGCCGCGGUAAUUC